rnacentral:tRNA from 1 species
GCCGGGGUCGCCUAGCCCGGUAGGGCGCGGCGCUGGAGACGCCGUGGUCGAAAGACCUCGGGAGUUCAAAUCUCCCCCCCGGCG